GACCUGCGUUUGUCAAUGCCUGGCUCCAAAGCAGUGAGGACUUCUACUCACACAGAAGGACCUGGGAUCCAUAGGCAGGUUCCUGCUGGAGAGAAAGUAUGCCUCCAGGACCCUGCCCAAACUGUGGACACUGGGGAAUCGACUGCACCUCUUUGCCUCACUAAGGCUGACCCUCUUGCCAACUUCCUAAGCAUCUUGGGGGCAAUCCCUACUUUGCGCAGUCACAAGAGAGACGAGGAUGGUGGAAGCCAUGGGAGUCCUUACUUCAGGGCCUGAAAGAGCCAGUUUCCUUCUGCUCUCCUAUUACUGGAUGUGGGAAGGAUUGAUUUGAAGUGACUAUCUCCACAUUUUGCCAUCUGAAGAAAGCAAUGGAGUAUGGCCAACACUUCUCCUUCAGUGCCGGGACAGCUCUAGGGAUACACCUGUGCUCAGAAAAAUGUUUUGGUGAAGGAUCUGAUGGUCUCCUUUGGGGAAACACAGAUUGUUUUGUAAUUUCUGUUAACCUUCACACCAUGUGGCACUACUGACCUUUACAGACAGGAGGCUCAGAGUCCCAUCCAUUCUGGGUGCAUGUGACCUGUUCCUGGCCUUGCAGCUCGUAUCCAUGGAGACAAGAAUACACCAGUACCAGCUUCCCAGACUCUUCACAGUGCACAAAGUUCCCAUUGUCCACCUUUUCUGGGAAGACACACUUGUCAUCUGUGAAAUGUUGAAUGUCAAAAUUCAG